rnacentral:rRNA from 1 species
GACGAACGCUGGCGGCGUGCUUAACACAUGCAAGUCGAACGGAAAGGCCCUGCUUUUGUGGGGUGCUCGAGUGGCGAACGGGUGAGUAACACGUGAGUAACCUGCCCUUGACUUUGGGAUAACUUCAGGAAACUGGGGCUAAUACCGGAUAGGAGCUCCUGCUGCAUGGUGGGGGUUGGAAAGUUUCGGCGGUUGGGGAUGGACUCGCGGCUUAUCAGCUUGUUGGUGGGGUAGUGGCUUACCAAGGCUUUGACGGGUAGCCGGCCUGAGAGGGUGACCGGCCACAUUAGGACUGAGAUACGGCCCAGACUCCUACGGGAGGCAGCAGUGGGGAAUAUUGCACAAUGGGCGGAAGCCUGAUGCAGCAACGCCGCGUGCGGGAUGACGGCCUUCGGGUUGUAAACCGCUUUCGCCUGUGACGAAGCGUGAGUGACGGUAAUGGGUAAAGAAGCACCAGCUAACUACGUG